GUCUUGUACACACCGCCCGUCACACCACGAAAGUCGGCAACACUUGAAGCCGUCGAGCUAACCGCACACGCGGAGGCAGGCGUCGAGGGUGGGGUCGGUGAUUGGGGUGAAGUCGUAACAAGGUAGCCGUACCGGAAGGUGCGGCUGGAUCACCUCCUUUCUAGGGAG
rnacentral:rRNA from 1 species